UGAUAAGAAGAGGACUUAAACCUCUGUUGAUGGGGCUACAACCCACCGCCUAACCCU
rnacentral:tRNA from 1 species